UAAGUAGAAGCUUAAGCCAAGCGCCUGACUGUUAAUUAGGAGACUGUAAAUCUAAAAUUUUACCUACUUAG
rnacentral:tRNA from 1 species